GGGGGUAUAGCUCAGUUGGGAGAGCACCUGCCUUGCACGCAGGGGGUCAAGGGUUCGAGUCCCUUUAUCUCCACCA
rnacentral:tRNA from 7 species